rnacentral:rRNA from 1 species
UACGGAGGGAGCUAGCGUUGUUCGGAAUUACUGGGCGUAAAGCGCACGUAGGCGGCUUUUUAAGUCAGGGGUGAAAUCCCGGGGCUCAACCCCGGAACUGCCCUUGAAACUGGAGAGCUAGAAUCUUGGAGAGGCGAGUGGAAUUCCGAGUGUAGAGGUGAAAUUCGUAGAUAUUCGGAAGAACACCAGUGGCGAAGGCGACUCGCUGGACAGUGACUGACGCUGAGACGCGAAAGCGUGGGGAGCAAACAGG